rnacentral:rRNA from 1 species
AGCGCAGACGGCGAAGCAAGUCUGAAGUGAAAUGCAUGGGCUCAACCCACGAAUUGCUUUGGAAACUGUUUGGCUUGAGUGUCGGAGGGGUAAGCGGAAUUCCUGGUGUAGCGGUGAAAUGCGCAGAUAUCAGGAGGAACACCGAUGGCGAAGGCAGGUUACUGGGCAGUUACUGACGCUGAGGAGCGAAAGCAUGGGUAGCGAACA